GGAAGGGCAAAGCUUUGUUGAUUGCAAUGACCAAGGUGUUAAGUAUCUGGAAACUCGGGUUGAUUCUAGGCUCUCGGACAUUAUUGAAUUUCCUCAAGUUGCGGUGUUAGACCAGCUGAUUCCAUACAAUUUAAGCGAUGCCUGUAUGCUGAAAGCAGAAGAACAGUUAGCCAUUCAAGUUAAUUUAUUCAACUGUGGUGGUAUAGUACUUGGGACUUGCAUUUCUCAUAGAAUAGCAGAUGCUUGUACCUUAAGCAAUUUCAUGAAUAGUUGGGCCGCCAUUGCUUGUGGGAAGAGCAACAUAGUAUUUCCAUCCUUCAACUCUGCAGUUAUGUUCCCACCAAGAGAUUAUUCUCUGAGCAGCAUGACAGAUGCAAAAAAUCAAGUAGUUAUUCCACCAGUGGACAGACUUGUCACCAAAAGGUUCAUUUUUACUGCCUCGGCAAUUUCAGCACUGAAGGCAAAUGCUGCG
rnacentral:lncRNA from 1 species